GACAGGGGAUGCGAGCGUUACUCGGAAUCACUGGGCGUAAAGCGUCUGUAGGCGGUGUGAUGCGUCUUGUGUGAAAUCACCGGGCUCAACCCGGUAUCCGCAUGGGAAACGGUCACGCUCGAGGGACUCAGAGGUGCCUGGAAUGCUGUGUGUAGGGGUAAAAUCCGUUGAUACACAGUAGAACGCUCAAAGCGAAAGCAGGGCACUGGGAGUUUCCUGACGCUGAGAGACGAAAGCGUGGGGAGCAAACCGGAUUAGAACGUA
rnacentral:rRNA from 1 species